GGACGCAAGUCUGAUGGAGCAACGCCGCGUGAGUGAAGAAGGGUUUCGGCUCGUAAAGUUCUGUUGGUAGUGAAGAAAGAUAGAGGUAGUAACUGGCCUUUAUUUGACGGUAAUUACUUAGAAAGUCACGGCUAACUACGUGGCAGCAGCCGCGGUAAUACGUAGGUGGCAAGCGUUGUCCGGAUUUAUUGGGCGUAAAGCGAGUGCAGGCGGUUCAAUAAGUCUGAUGUGAAAGCCUUCGGCUCAACCGGAGAAUUGCAUCAGAAACUGUUGAACUUGAGUGCAGAAGAGGAGAGUGGAACUCCAUGUGUAGCGGUGGAAUGCGUAGUAUAUAUGGAAGAACACCAGUGGCGAAGGCGGCUCUCUGGUCUGCAACUGACGCUGAGGCUCGAAAGCAUGGGUAGCGAACAGGAUUAGAUACCCUGGUAGUCCAUGCCGUAAACGAUGAGUGCUAAGUGUUGGGAGGUUUCCGCCUCUCAGUGCUGCAGCUAACGCAUUAAGCACUCCGCCUGGGGAGUACGACCGCAAGGUUGAAACUCAAAGGAAUUGACGGGGGCCCGCACAAGCGGUGGAGCAUGUGGUUUAAUUCGAAGCAACGCGAAGAACCUUACCAGGUCUUGACAUCCAGUGC
rnacentral:rRNA from 1 species